AUAAUCACUUAUUAUCAAUCCCACAAAUAUUUUGUCAGUUUGGCAAACACGAUUGUUGUUUUCACUUCGAUUUUUAUUGACGUGUACUAAAAAUUAGGAGUGUAUUUUUUCAACGUCACCGAAUACCAAGAUGGCCGAAAACAAGAAAAAAGGGCGAAUGUAUUUCUUCCCGCUGAAUUGCCGAAUUCGGCAAGUCCGGACGGUCGCAAAUCAAACUAGAAAUUACUGGUCCAGUUCCGGAGAACGUUCCGGUUUUCCUGAUAAUUUCAGUAUUUUCCCAAAAUGAUCCCACAACGAUGACAGCCAAGGAUUUCCCAGGAUUCCCCAGGGAGCUGCUUGAAAAUAGAGUGUAAUACGAGGACAAAGGAGUGAUUGCCCGAGUCGAAUUUUAUGAUGAAUGUA